rnacentral:tRNA from 1 species
GGUCGAGUACGCAAACAGGUAAAGCGAUCUGGUCGAGGGCCAGGUGAUUCUGCAGGUUCGAUUCCUGUCUCGACUAC